AUUGAACGCUGGCGGCAGGCCUAACACAUGCAAGUCGAGCGGAUGAAGGGAGCUUGCUCCUGGAUUCAGCGGCGGACGGGUGAGUAAUGCCUAGGAAUCUGCCUGGUAGUGGGGGAUAACGUCCGGAAACGGGCGCUAAUACCGCAUACGUCCUGAGGGAGAAAGUGUGGGAUCUUCGGACCUCACGCUAUCAGAUGAGCCUAGGUCGGAUUAGCUAGUUGGUGGGGUAAAGGCCUACAAAGGCGACGAUCCGUAACUGGUCUGAGAGGAUGAUCAGUCACACUGGAACUGAGACACGGUCCAGACUCCUACGGGAGGCAGCAGUGGGGAAUAUUGGACAAUGGGCGAAAGCCUGAUCCAGCCAUGCCGCGUGUGUGAAGAAGGUCUUCGGAUUGUAAAGCACUUUAAGUUGGGAGGAAGGGCAGUAAGUUAAUACCUUGCUGUUUUGGCGUUACCAACAGAAUAAGCACCGGCUAACUUCGUG
rnacentral:rRNA from 1 species